rnacentral:rRNA from 1 species
AUUGAACGCUGGCGGCAUGCCUUACACAUGCAAGUCGAACGGCAGCACGGACUUCGGUCUGGUGGCGAGUGGCGAACGGGUGAGUAAUGUAUCGGAACGUACCUUUCAGUGGGGGAUAACGUAGCGAAAGUUACGCUAAUACCGCAUAUUCUGUGAGCAGGAAAGCAGGGGAUCGCAAGACCUUGCGCUGAUUGAGCGGCCGAUAUCAGAUUAGCUAGUUGGUGGGGUAAAGGCCUACCAAGGCGACGAUCUGUAGCGGGUCUGAGAGGAUGAUCCGCCACACUGGAACUGAGACACGGUCCAGACUCCUACGGGAGGCAGCAGUGGGGAAUUUUGGACAAUGGGGGCAACCCUGAUCCAGCCAUGCCGCGUGAGUGAAGAA